rnacentral:lncRNA from 1 species
AUGUUAGAGCGACACUUGGCGACCAUCCACAUGGAAUGCACAAUGAAACAUCCGAAUCCUAAGCCGUCUGCGAUCCAUCCCAGCGUUCGUGAAGCGCCCAAUCCUCUCCACGUUCCAUCUUUUGGAAAUUGAGCGUCGGCGUCCUAGCCACCCCGUCUUCACUGCAUUCCAGCCGAGAUCAGCGCGUUCCAGCAGCCCGCAAUCGCCUCCCAGCAUCCCGCGGCAGUCUUCUUCAUCAGCAAUCCCAGCUCCCGUGCACAAUCCCAGCGUCCAACUCUUCACUGUCCGUGAGCCAGCGUCCGCCUCCUCCACUGAUUCCUCACAUCCCAAAUCCCAUGAAUAGUCCCAGCAUCCGCGAAGCACCCGCAAUCAACUCCCUUCUUCGUUCCGUUUCAACAUUCUCCCAGCAUCAUAGCCGAAAACAGCGUCCGAGCAACCCGCGGCCAGCCUGGAUCUGCCUCCCUGAUGACCGUUUUCUCCCAGAUUUCAUGAUCCCUUCCCGCAUC